rnacentral:rRNA from 1 species
UAGGGAAUCUUCGGCAAUGGGGGCAACCCUGACCGAGCAACGCCGCGUGAGUGAAGAAGGUUUUCGGAUCGUAAAGCUCUGUUGUAAGUCAAGAACGGGUGUGAGAGUGGAAAGUUCACACUGUGACGGUAGCUUACCAGAAAGGGACGGCUAACUACGUGCCAGCAGCCGCGGUAAUACGUAGGUCCCGAGCGUUGUCCGGAUUUAUUGGGCGUAAAAGCGAGCGCAGGCGGUUUGAUAAGUCUGAAGUUAAAGGCUGUGGCUCAACCAUAGUUCGCUUUGGAAACUGUCAAACUUGAGUGCAGAAGGGGAGAGUGGAAUUCCAUGUGUAGCGGUGAAAUGCGUAGAUAUAUGGAGGAACACCGGUGGCGAAAGCGGCUCUCUGGUCUGUAACUGACGCUGAGGCUCGAAAGCGUGGGGAGCGAACAGGAUUAGAUACCCUGGUAGUCCACGCCGUAAACGAUGAGUGCUAAGUGUUGGGAGGCUUCCGCCUCUCAGUGCUGCAGCUAACGCAUUAAGCACUCCGCCUGGGGGAGU